rnacentral:rRNA from 1 species
CGUAGGUAAUCUACCUUCGGGUGGGGAAUAACCCAGGGAAACUUGGGCUAAUACCGCAUAAUGCAGCGGCACCACAUGGUGACAGUUGUUAAAGCGGGGGAUCUUCGGAUCUCGCGCCUGAAGAGGAGCCUGCGGCAGAUUAGCUAGUUGGUAGGGUGACGGCUUACCAAGGCGACGAUCUGUAGCCGGCCUGAGAGGGCGGUCGGCCACACUGACACUGACAUACGGGUCAGACUCCUACGGGAGGCAGCAGUCGGGAAUUUUGGGCAAUGGGCGAAAGCCUGACCCAGCAACGCCGCGUGAAGGAUGAAAUCCCUCGGGAUGUAAACUUCGCAAGAAUGGGAAGAAUUAGUAGGGGCUAAUACCCUCUAUGAUGACGGUACCAUUUGUAAGCUCCGGCUAACUCCGUGCCAGCAGCCGCGGUAAUACGGGGGGAGCAAGCGUUGUUCGGAUUUACUGGGCGUAAAGGGCGCGUAGGCGGCCAGCGCAAGUCAGUUGUGAAAUCUCCGGGCUUAACUCGGAACGGUCAACUGAUACUGCGCGGCUAGAGUGCGGAAGGGGCAACUGGAAUUCUCGGUGUAGCGGUGAAAUGCGUAGAUAUCGAGAGGAACACCUGCGGC